rnacentral:sRNA from 1 species
GAGAUGGCUGGUUGAGCCUGGGGCAGUG